GGUAACAGUAAAGUGGAAGACGGUGUCAAACAGUGGCAGUUCAGACGACAUGUUGGUCGCCACAUGCGACGCCCACGCUGACAGAUGAAUACUCCCUCUGGUGGUCUGGGUAGCAGAAGUAAUGGCAGUGGAAACAUACCCUCAAGUGAACUUGGGAUCAAGAAAUUUCUUGCAAAUAUACUGACUUGAGACAUGAACCGAGAGCUGACAGGAUGGUCCAAGUCAUGCGGAAGACCGACCACCUUGUGCAUGACCUUCUCCUUCCAGACAAAGCAGAAAGGAAGCGCCAUCACACCUGUUGGCAUGACACAUUUUAAUCAUUGUAUACUUAAAUAGCGUCUGAUUUCAAUUAUGCCAUUUGGUUGAGAUGUGCUCUAGACAUUAUCCUGUCAUUAUAUUCCAAAGGAGAGUGAAAAUAAGC